GAAAUUAGUUCCAUGCACUUGAUGACCAAGCACCGCUACCUGUGUGCAGGAGACAAAAUGGCUGCCAUUUCAUAAAGCACAUGCGUUCGGUCCUUCAAAUGGCGGCCACUCAGAGAGAGCACUUGAGAUAAUUGGUUUCUUUGAAGUUAAUGAGCCAGAGGGUGGUUGGAUUUCAGUGGGCAUAAAAGGGGGAAUGAGUUUUUGUUCGGAAAACGAAUGAGGGG